AGAGUUUGAUCAUGGCUCAGAACGAACGUUGGCGGCGUGCUUAACACAUGCAAGUCGAACGAGAAAGUUCCUUCGGGGACGAGUAAAGUGGCGCACGGGUGAGUAACGCGUAGAUAAUCUGUCCAGGUGUUCGGGAUAGCCCUUCGAAAGGGGGAUUAAUACCGGAUACGUUGGUCUGUCAUAAGGCAGAUCAAGAAAGGUGGCCUCUAUUUAUAAGCUAUCGCAUUUGGAGGAGUCUGCGUACCAUUAGUUUGUUGGUGGGGUAAUGGCCUACCAAGGCUUCGAUGGUUAGCGGGUCUGAGAGGAUGAUCCGUCACACUGGCUCUGAAACACGGGCCAGACUCCUACGGGAGGCAGCAGUGAGGAAUAUUGCGCAAUGGGGGAAACCCUGACGCAGCGACGCCGCGUGGGUGAGGAAGGCUUUCGGGUCGUAAAGCCCUGUCAGAAGGGAAGAAAUGUGUAUAGGUUAAUAUCUUAUGCACNNGA
rnacentral:rRNA from 1 species